UAGGGAAUCUUCGGCAAUGGGGGGAACCCUGACCGAGCAACGCCGCGUGAGUGAAGAAGGAUUUCGGUUCGUAAAACUCUGUUGUUAGAGAAGAACAGCGCAUAGAGUAACUGUUAUGCGUGUGACGGUAUCUAACCAGAAAGCCACGGCUAACUACGUGCCAGCAGCCGCGGUAAUACGUAGGUGGCAAGCGUUGUCCGGAUUUAUUGGGCGUAAAGCGAGCGCAGGCGGUCAAUUAAGUCUGAUGUGAAAGCCCCCGGCUCAACCGGGGAGGGUCAUUGGAAACUGGUUGACUUGAGUGCAGAAGAGGAGAGUGGAAUUCAAUGUGUAGCGGUGAAUUGCGUAGAUAUAUGGAGGAACACCAGUGGCGAAGGCGACUCUCUGGUCUGUAACUGACGCUGAGGCUCGAAAGCGUGGGUAGCAAACAGG
rnacentral:rRNA from 1 species